rnacentral:misc_RNA from 1 species
UUUCCGUAGGUGAACCUGCGGAAGGAUCAUUAUUGAAUUGUUAGGAUGCUCUCUUUAGAGGUCCGACCCUUUCAUUUCUCACACUGUGCAUUACACUACUUUUUACACCUACACUAUUAUACUCGUAAAGUCUAUAAGGAUGUAUUAAAAGUCUCUUAGUUGAGCAUUUAAAUAGUAAAACUUUCAGCAACGGAUCUCUUGGCUCUCGCAUCGAUGAAGAACGCAGC